rnacentral:rRNA from 1 species
AACAAACGCUGGCGGCGUGCCUAAUACAUGCAAGUCGAACGGGGAAAGUAGCAAUACGAGUACUAGUGGCGCACGGGUGAGGAAUACAUGGGUAAUCUGCCCUCGAGCUCGGGAUAACCAGUCGAAAGACUGGCUAAUACCGGAUAUGACCACAAGAUCUGAGGAUCAAGGGGUAAAAGGUUUUUCGCUUGAGGAUGAGCCCAUGUGGGAUUAGCUAGUUGGUGUAGGUAACGGCUCACCAAGGCGACGAUCCCUAACUGGUCUUAGAGGAUGAUCAGUCACACUAGAACUGAGACACGGUCCAGACUCCUACGGGAGGCAGCAGUAGGGAAUAUUGCACAAUGGAGGAAACUCUGAUGCAGCGACGCCGCGUGAGUGAUGAAGGCCUUCGGGUCGUAAAGCUCUGUCGUAUGGGACUAACAAAAUGAAGGUACCAUGCAAGAAAGGAUCGGCUAACUUCGUGCCAGCAGCCGCGGUAAU